CGCUCGCUCUCUCCCUCUCAAAAUAAAUAAACAGGAAAACAAGAAAAGAGAAUGGCUCGCAGGAGCUUGAAAUCUGGUGAGAAGAGGAGUCAUGCAAACAGGUUUCUAGACACAAAAAGACACGCGCAGUGGGAGAGGUACAGGCAGGGUGGUUACAGGCACAGUGGCCGGGCCUUGGUCAGCAAAGGCCCUUCUAGUUGGAGGUCUGCCGGGCACGUGGUCACGGCCACCACAGGCACGGCCUCUUCGGCUGGAAGGCACACCCGCGGUGAGUUUACUCAGCAAACAGUUAUUUUUACGCCCCAGCUUGCACGCAGCCGUGAAGCCUUUGUCUUGCCAUUCCGUCCAUCCUCUCCCACCCCGUUAGCCUCUCCUGUAGCGCUUACACUGUUUCUGAUUAUGUUUCUGUGUUUGCUUGUCCAGCCUUUCUUUCCUACCACGCUGUGUCUCAGUGGCAGUGACCUUAUGUGACCUGUUCCCCGCUCUACCUCCAGUGGUUAGCUUAACGCCCGGGGCUCGGUAAACGUCCAAUAAAUAUGUGACCAGUGACUGAGUCAAGGGCAAGAAUAGAUGGCUCUAGAGCAGCGUGUCCCAAAGUUUUAAAAAGGGUAAUAUUCAAUCUGCACAAUGGAAUGAGCUGAAGGAAGCAAACUGCCCAGAACCUUCCUGUUUGCUCUAGGGAUUUAAUGGAUAAAUAUCUCAGUCUACCUUUCUUUCAGAUCUUAGACCAGGAAGCUCUGUUUUCGGGAACCAGCGCUGAGAUCACAGGAUCACUUGCUAACAUGUGUGCACCAUGAUGCCCACAAUAGGAAGACCGACGUGUAAAGACAUUCAUAGUGGGCCCGUGGGCUUGUUUGUCUACUUUUAGGGUUGCUAGAGGCCUUAGAUGAUCAGAUUCUGAUAGGAUUAGCCUGGGGCAGUGUGGUGAACUGAGGGGGUGCUACCCAGACCCCCUUUCAAAGGACUUGCUGCCGGCUGUGGAGACUGUGGUCUACAGACAGCCUCCGGCCGCCCCGUCUCUCAGGAACUGCCUCGGCUGCAGAGCUGCCUUCCAGAAGUCAUCCAAGAAAGUCAGGCCGACUCAGGCAGGUCAGCUUUGACAGGCAGGCUUGCCCAGCCCGGUCCACAAGACCAUUCCCUCCGCCAGUCCUUCCCCGCCCUUUCUCAGGCGUCGGCUUAUAUUUCUACUGGUCGCACCUCAACGGUCCGCAUCUGGGAACCCGUUUCCAGACAACCCGCCCUCUGACAGACAGCUUCACAAAAUGCUACCUCAGAUGCCUUUUGGAGGAGGUGGGAUGUAAAUCGCACACACCAGGGUGGAGGAGAUCGCCUUUGGGGCAAAGGGCUUUGUGAAAAGGCCCAGGCUGCUGCAUCCUCACAUUCUCCCUUUAAUUCUCCUGGAAACUUGUAAGAAGAGCCGUCAGGUGGAAAUGAACAGUAAUUGGCAACUCGAGACCCGGCGUCUGAGACUAAGAAAAUGAGAUAAGGAAUGUCUAAAGGAACAUUUCUACAAUGACAGCAUUAAACAAAACAUGGGAAUGCCAUGAUCCAGCCUGCACCCACCGAUGCGUUUUCUUGGACAACACCGAGUCCAGGAAGGAAGCACAGCACAGAGGCAGUAGGAACAGGUGUGGAAUUAUUCAACAUCUCUGGCAAACAGCAGUGGGGAUUAAGCAGAGAUUUCUUUAAUGAGAUUAAUUCUGAAAGACGAAGAGCAGCUUGGCAUGUUCCCAAAGAUACAAGGCAUUUGUAUCUAUCUAAGAUUAAAGGAGCUUUCACACAAAGCGAUUUUACUUUUUCAACAUCAAAGAGGAUUCUUGGAGGGGCUGCUUG